UGUUUGUGAGGGACGUGAGCCGGUGAGUCCGAGUCUGAGGCAGUGUCAUGAGGCGAAAGCUCGUCAUGGACGUCACCCCAAGAGUGGACUCCACCCGGGCGCUGCGAGGCCUGAUUCCCAGCAAUGGGAGGCCCGACGGCAGGCUUCGCCGCAGUCAGCCGAGAAAUAUCCACCCACCAGCCUGGGAUCCACUUAAUCGUCCUUAUGUGAAGACGGACCAAAACCAGAUGGCACCCCUGGCGGACUCAGCUGUCGCUGGGGGAGAUGAAGGACUGCAGUGCGCCCCAGUGGCUUCUCCACCCACACGCGGAGCGAGCCGGCGAGAGGGCCACUGAUGGUGUCUCCACACACCCUGGACGGUCCAGGCCCUCCCCCCUGCCGGGAUCCCAGACAUGAGGGCAGGAAGAGCGAGCACCCCUGGGAGUCCCAGUCCACCACCUGCACACACAGAAUCAGGGCGGAGGUCGGAAGGCACCCACGAAAAAGGCAACACGGCUCAGGUCCCACGGGACCUGACGUCUUACAUAACCAUGACCGCAAAGGGAUGCCUCUCUGACCGCAGGGCUGGGCAGCCACGGACGCGGCCACCCCCACAGCCA